GAAUUCCUGUAAGUUUCAGUCUGACUGAAAGGAUUUGUUCUAUUCCUGUGCUUGUCUGUUGCAGGGUCCGCACCCUCCACUCAGGUAAUUGCAGGCGGCCCGCAGCGUUUCCAUGGUGAUUUCAGGGCAACUUCGGGUGUUCCGAUCCCGUGGAUGUGCCAGCGGACAUGGGCUUUGGCAUGGCUACGUUCAAAGGUAAACCCAGUUCCCCCCAGUAAGAGAUGGCUGCGCCCCCAUAAAGAGCAGGAAAAGAGGGUGUGUGCUGAGUCCCCGCCUGGUGACAGGGGCCAGGGAGAUGGAGCUAGUUCCCUUAGAGGAUGGGGGGCUGGUGGGUGCUCGGGCCCGCCGCGCCCCUUCCUGACCUCUGACUGGCCUAGGUCCGGGGUCCGGCCUCCAUCGCCUCCAGCCGGCCCCGGAUGCCGUCUGUAAGCCCCCAGUUCCCCAGUUUAGUCCCGACCUCCCUGAAUGCGCACGGGAUGCUCCUCUUGGAUGUCCAAAGGCUUCCGAGACCAAACCCCCAGUUCCCUGCACCCCCGGUCCACGUCAGGGGAGCCAGAGAGGUCACUGGGAGCACCUCCCGUCAGAGAGGUGUCCCCUGUGGGGAACACCAACCACAGAUAAACCCAGGUGUCUGUUUAAACUCACGGCCUCCAGGCAGCUGAACGGAAGCAGCCUGAGUGUCCCAACCCCGCUGACCCCCAGAGUCGCCCCCUCGCCCUAGCAUGGAGGUCUCAGAGCGGGCUCCCUGGUCCAGCAACGGCAGCCUCGCCGGGAGACUGGAGGAGUCCAGCUCCUCGGGCCCUGGGCAGACCUGCUGAAUGGACGCUCCAGGGUGAUGUCCAGCGUCCCUGUUUGAACAAGUGCCCCCGGUACCCGAGGUCUGGGAGCCAAUGUUCCAAACCAAGGUCUCUGCUGGAACGUUGAUUCCUCUCUUCCCAAAGGCGAGGGUCAAAGUCGCUGGUCUGUGAGUGGGGUCUCCACGGCCCUGCGUUCAAGCCGGGCCACUCUUGCUGUUUUCCGCGGUGCAGGAGGGCUCUUCAGGGCUUUUAAGAAUAAUAUGAAAGCUUCAACCCUAGUCGGGAAGCUAACUAAAUUGUCCUUAGUCUAGAGAACGAAUAAUAGGUACACCUUAGAAAAAUACGGUUUCAAUCAAUCAGAUACAAAACCAACAGGAAAAACCUGUCGUUUUUGCUUCAAGUAUUAUGGAGGUGGGGGGUGGGGGGUGGGAGGAAAGCUUAAAAAGUCUCACUGCUCAAGAAAACACUUCCAAAUAUUCAAUGUAGUGUCAUCUUUACAUUUGAAACUGUUUUUAAAAAUGGAAUCACAUAUUAAUACAAAAAGGGAAGUUUCUCGUGAACUGUUCAAAAUUUAGAGAAUUAGGAUCAGCUGUUAUGAAACAUGGCGUGUGUGAUUUUCCUUAGUAAACACCCUCGCUGAAGUGAGGUUCUGAAUCAACAUUGUGUCCCCGGCCCCAGGUUUAAGGCUGUGUGGGUUGGUGACAGCCACCUACAGCUGAAACUAUGUCCACACACAGCACAGCCCCUGAGUGUCACUUGAUUCAAUUAAAUGUAUAAUAGGGCUAUUCUAGAGCCAGGGCUUUAAAUGGCCUUUUUGUCUCCUCCCUCGUACAUCUGGGCAGUGAACACUACAUUAAAAUGCAGCAAGAAAAACGUCCCAUGAAGAACUUUAUUGACAAAAAGGUAAAAUUUUAAUAACCCUUCAGUAGGCUCCAUUCAAGACAGGGAACUAUGUGGGCAGGAUUUUUACAGUUCUCAUAGGAAUCCUCCGUAUUGAAAGAAUGUUUUCAGUUUAGAAGGAGCUCGACUGCAAAGUAUUCCUGAACUGUGACCAUCUCUGCCUUAAAUGUAAUAUAUUUGGUGGAUCUUUGUUUGCUGAGCAAGGAAUAAACCUGCUGAAGUGAUUUUCCCCUUCACAACAAAAAUGACCCACACAUCGAAAUUGAUGAAAACGCUUUAUUGAGAGGUAAUAGAGCCUUCUGGUCUUGCCCUGCUAGCUAAUAACGUCACCGCCAAGCAAAGGCCACAUAGCUGACAAAUACCACAGCGCCUCACAAGAGGUCAGAGUCUCGGCUGAAUAACGUCUUUCUCUGGAAAAUCUAUCAGAACCUACAAAGCGGUUACGGUCCAGAGAGGGCCUCCUGUCCCCCAAUGAGAGGGGCCCCCGUGAGGCUCCCCCUACUCCAGGGGGUGUCGUGGGCCUCAACGGAAUAACGCCUGUGAACACGGGAGAGUCAUACCCACUGCUCUCUCGGAAGAUCAAAUAUUGCACUUUUCCCCAAAGGACGUAAAAUCUGAAUCCUAACAAGCAGGACAGGAUCUCAGGGGCUUUGCGACACUGCUGGGCUGUGGUGAAAAAAAAUAAGGUGUCCUGGGUGCGUGUACCAACAGUCUAGACUGGCUUGAAAAGGGGAUCCAAUUCCAAUCUAACCAGUAAAAUUAUGUCCAGGGAGGGGAGAGGGGUGGGAGAGAGUUGCCAACACAGCAGGUUGGAAUUCAACUUCGAUUCAGGUCAAAGUGUGUUAGUCGCUUAGUCGUGUCUGACUCUUUGUGACCCCAUGGACGGUAGCCCUCCAGGCUCCUCUGUCUGUGGGGUUUCCCAGGCAAGAAUGCUGGAGUGUGUUACCAUUCCCUUCUCCAGGAGAGUCUUCCCAACCCAGGGAUCGAACCUGGGUCUCCUGCAUUGCAGUGGAUUCUUUACCAACUGAGCCAAGGCCACGGUUUAACUUGCAGGUCACCACCUCCCUCUAGAUGGUGUUGACCUUCCAAGACAACCUUCUGAGCCUGUUUCCACAUUUGAAAGACUACUUCUGAGGGUACUGAGAGGAUUAAACGAGGUAUCUUGUGACAGUCACUUAAAACUGUGCCUGAGACUUAAUCUUUCAAUGGAAGACCUCCAGAGCAUAUAAGCGUGGAUGUAAACACAGAACAAAUAAUUUGCGUACAAAUCUGUGCACUGAAAUCCCAGACACAUCCACCUCAGAGCAGGUGACCAUCCGGAGCAUGCCCGUCAGUCCUGUGUUCCUGGGAUGCAGUUUGGUUUUCAGUGCGAUGUGGGACUCACAUCCCUGAACAGAGAGAGAUGCUACUCAGGGAGAUGCCUGUUUGCUUCUGGCUGAAAAGACCGAGGCUAAACCUCAUCUCCCCACACUUCACACCUGGGAAGUGAUUUGGGGUGUUACUACAGGAAUCCAGACAGCGUUUAUUUGCAGCCACAGUGAGCACAGACUCUGUGGCACCAACGUGUUUCUUCAGCACUUUAUUUGCGAAAAUGUCUGCUCCGCGCCGCUGCCCUGCAAAAACGUGUGUCCUCCAUUUGUACACAAACACACACACGUCUCCCAGCCCUCCUCCUGGCCACGUUGUAUCACCUUCUCUGCGUCUCCACGUCCCUACAUCACGCGCUUCUCCAGGGACCUUCCAGGCCCUCCUGGUCUCAGAGACCCGGCGCACAGUCAGUGGUUGGGCCAACACUUCCAGUUUCCUGAGAACCACAAUCUCCCCCAGCCCCCAACCUCAGCAGGGCUGCCAGAAGCAUGUGGAGGACACCAGGCCUACUCUGCACGGCUGGUGGGAGAAAACAAGAUCCUGCCCUGCAGACGAAGGUGUGGGUCCACACCCGCAGUCCUGCCUGCCUAGGGGCUGUCUGCUCCCUUCUCUUCGGAACCUUCAAGCAUAGCCAAGAUUUGGACACAACCCAGGUGUCCACGGAUCACGGAUGGAUAAAGAUGUUGCGGUUUACAUACACAACAGAGUAUUCUUCGGCUAUAAAAAAGAAUGACACCUUGUCAUUUGCGGCAACAGAGAUGGGUCUGGAGAGCAUUAUACUAAGCGAAAUAAGUCAGAGGGAAACAAAUGCCAUGUAAUUUCACCUGUAUGUGGAAUCUGAAAAAGAAAACAAAACGGGAAGACUCACAGUUACAGAGGAAGGGAUGGAUUAAAUAGAUGAAGGCUCUUUAGAGGGACAGACUCCCAGCUCUAAGGGAAAUCAGUCACAAGAUGUAAAGUACUGCACAAGGAAUGGAGUCACUGAUACUGUAACAACGUGUGUGGUGAUGGAUGGUAACUGGUCUUCCUGUGCUGAUCACCUCAUAAUGUAGAAAAGUGUCAAAUCACUGAGUUGUAUACCUGAAA